rnacentral:rRNA from 1 species
UUGCGUCCGUGACCUGCGGAAGGUCAUUG